rnacentral:rRNA from 1 species
AGUGAACGCUGGCGGUAGGCCUAACACAUGCAAGUCGAACGGCAGCACAGUAAGAGCUUGCUCUUACGGGUGGCGAGUGGCGGACGGGUGAGGAAUACAUCGGAAUCUACUUUUUCGUGGGGGAUAACGUAGGGAAACUUACGCUAAUACCGCAUACGACCUACGGGUGAAAGCAGGGGAUCUUCGGACCUUGCGCGAUUGAAUGAGCCGAUGUCGGAUUAGCUAGUUGGCGGGGUAAAGGCCCACCAAGGCGACGAUCCGUAGCUGGUCUGAGAGGAUGAUCGGCCACACUGGACCUGAGACACGGUCCAGACUCCUACGGGAGGCAGCAGUGGGAAAUAUUGGACAAUGGGCGCAAGCCUGAUCCAGCCAUGCCGCGUGGGUGAAGAAGGCCUUCGGGUUGUAAAGCCCUUUUGUUGGGAAAGAAAAGCAGCAGGUUAAUACCCCGCUGUUCUGACGGUACCCAAAGAAUAAGCACCGGCUAACUUCGU